rnacentral:snRNA from 1 species
GAGCAGCAGAGAGAAAGUCUAUCUCCUCUUUGAUCACUGGAGCAGACUUGGCUGAUCUGCUUGGCUAUGUGAAGUUUUCAUCUCUCCUCACAACAUCUUUCUGCAAACCUCACAAAGCUGCACACUGAGACAAGGAGUACCAUGGUCUGUGUCAGGCACAGUAGUAUCUCCUUCUAGAUCCUCCAAACAAAAGUCCAUUUGUAGAACACGGAGCAGCCAAACCUCCAAGUCUUGAGACACAUUCAAAUGAAGGUCUGUAUGCUAUAAUUUGCUUUUCAUU